rnacentral:rRNA from 1 species
GACGAACGCUGGCGGCGUGCCUAAUACAUGCAAGUAGAACGCAGUUGCGAACGGGUGAGUAACGCGUAGGUAACCUGCCUCAUAGCGGGGGAUAACUAUUGGAAACGAUAGCUAAUACCGCAUACUGUGAGAUGGACCUGCGUUGUAUUAGCUAGUUGGUGAGGUAAAGGCUCACCAAGGCGACGAUACAUAGCCGACCUGAGAGGGGGGUCGGCGACACUGGGAAUGAAACACGGCCCAGCAUCCUCGGGGAGGCAGCGGGAGGGAAUCUUGGGCAAUGGAUGGAAGUCGGACCAAGCAACGCCGCGGGAGUGAAGAAGGUUUUCGGAGCGAAAAGCUCUGUUGUGAGGAAAGAGGUAACUAACCAGAAAGGGACGGCUAAAUACGUGCCAGCAGCCGCGGUAAUAC